GACGAACGCUGGCGGCGUGCUUAACACAUGCAAGUCGAACGGAAAGGCCCUGCUUUUGUGGGGUUCUCGAUUGGCGAACGUGUGUGUAACACGUGAGUAACCUGCCCUUUACUUUGUUAUAACUUCAGGUAACUGGGGCUAAUACCGGAAAGGAUCUCCUGCUGCAUGGUGGUGGUUGGAAAGUUUCGGCGGUUGGGGAUGGACUCGCUGCUUAUCAGCUUGUUUGUGGGGUAGUGGCUUACCAAGGCUUUGACGGGUAGCCGGCCUGAGAGGGUGACCGGCAACAUUGGGACUGAGAUACGGCGCAGACUGGUACGGGAGGAAGCAGUGGGGAAUAUUGCACAAUGGGCGGAAGCCUGAGGCAGAAAAGCCGCGUGCGGGAUGACGGCCUUGGGGUUGUAAACCGAUUUAGAAUGUGACGAAGAGUGAGUGACGGUAAUGGGUAAAGAAGCACCGGCUAACUACGUG
rnacentral:rRNA from 1 species